GAUGAACGCUGGCGGCGUGCCUAAUACAUGCAAGUCGAGCGAACAGACGAGGAGCUUGCUCCUCUGACGUUAGCGGCGGACGGGUGAGUAACACGUGGAUAACCUACCUAUAAGACUGGGAUAACUUCGGGAAACCGGAGCUAAUACCGGAUAAUAUAUUGAACCGCAUGGUUCAAUAGUGAAAGACGGUUUUGCUGUCACUUAUAGAUGGAUCCGCGCCGCAUUAGCUAGUUGGUAAGGUAACGGCUUACCAAGGCAACGAUGCGUAGCCGACCUGAGAGGGUGAUCGGCCACACUGGAACUGAGACACGGUCCAGACUCCUACGGGAGGCAGCAGUGGGAAUCUUCCGCAAUGGGCGAAAGCUUGACGGAGCAACGCCGCGUGAGUGAUGAAGGUCUUCGGAUCGUAAAACUCUGUUAUUAGGGAAGAACAAAUGUGUAAGUAACUAUGCACGUCUUGACGGUACCUAAUCAGAAAGCCACGGCUAACUACGUG
rnacentral:rRNA from 1 species